AGGGUUCAGCAACCUUUUGGAGACAGGCCACACAGCUAGGCAGUAUCUUGGAGUAGGGCCAUAAUAUCAACGUUCUACAAGGACUGCUUUAUGCCUUAACCAGCCCUACCUUCAUGGGAGAUCAAGCUAAACCACACCCCAAAACUCUGACGUCAACCCAACACUACUCCAUCAAAAUUUUUAGCCAUCACAGUCCAGGCUAAAAUAUAAAUCUAGCACACCCCUUACACCCGGCCAAAUUUAAGGAUGGCCAGUUAAAGAGAGACAUACAUAUGGUAUAAGAAAAACAAAUUACAAACAAUUUUGUACUUUCCACAGGAAUUUGAAAAUAAAUAUUACCAAUCCUG